rnacentral:rRNA from 1 species
CACGUAGGGGGCAAGCGUUGUCCGGAUUUAUUGGGCGUAAAGAGCUCGUAGGCGGCUUAGUAAGUCGGGUGUGAAACCUCCAGGCUCAACCUGGACACGCCACCCGAUACUGCUGUGGCUAGAGUCCGGUAGGGGAGUGUGGAAUUCCCGGUGUAGCGGUGAAAUGCGCAGAUAUCGGGAGGAACACCAGUGGCGAAGGCGGCACUCUGGGCCGGUACUGACGCUGAGGAGCGAAAGCGUGGGGAGCGAACAGG